AACGUAGGAGGCGAGCGUUAUCCGGAUUUACUGGGCGUAAAGCGCACGCAGGUGGUCAUGUAAGUUGGAUGUGAAAGCUCCUGGCUCAACUGGGAGAGGUCGUUCAAAACUACAUGACUCGAGAGUGGUAGAGGGAGGUGGAAUUCCGGGUGUAGUGGUGAAAUGCGUAGAUAUAGGAAGGAACACCAGUGGCGAAGGCGACCACCUGGACUGAUACUGACACUGAGGUGCGAAAGCGUGGGGAGCAAACAGG
rnacentral:rRNA from 1 species